UACAGAGGUCCCAAGCGUUGUUCGGAUUCACUGGGCGUAAAGGGUGCGCAGGUGGUCGGGUAAGUCUGACGUGAAAUCCCGCAGCUUAACUGCGGAAUGGCAUUGGAUACUAUUCGGCUAGAGGGUUGGAGGGGGACUGGAAUUCUCGGUGUAGCAGUGAAAUGCGUAGAUAUCGAGAGGAACACCAGUGGCGAAAGGCGAGUCCCUGGACAACUCCUGACGCUGAGGCACGAAAGCUAGGGGAGCAAACAGG
rnacentral:rRNA from 1 species